UUAUUGCCGUAACUGGAAGCAGCUUGUGGAAGGAGAGCCAAGCAGAGUGUCCCAAUUAAAGUCAUAAUUCACUCCACAGGUCUGAUGGGUUUGCGUCAGGAUUACGAAGGCAAAACCAAGACAGUUACAAAUCCAUGAAGUAACAGCAGGCUGAUAAAAAAGAACGAGGGAGGAGGAUCACAUUCCUCGCAGCUAGGUUACCAGCUGAUAACCAUUGGACAAUGUUUCUCUGUUCUUAUGGAAAUCACAUACAUUUACAUAGCUAUUUUUGGCAAAUAUAUGAAAAUGGAGACUUUACUCCCCUGCAUCAACAGCAAAAUCAGAAAUUCCUCCUAAGUUUCUGGGACAUUCCCCUGUACUCAUUCUGCUAUGGGAUGACCCUCCAUGGAUGCACCUGCACAUAGGGCACCUCCAAGGGCUUCCAGGGAAGGACCUUGAAAAUGAAUGUGACCCUUUGCUCCAACUGGAGAGAUGGGCUGAACUCCCAAGCAUAAGAUGUCUUGUUUUCUCUUGACUGUAUUUCCCGUUUGACUCCAUUUUUUAUUGAUUUUAUUUCUAACCAGAAAAUCCCCUAUACUGACUCCCCUUGUGCACUUAAGAUGCACAUAAAAAUGUGCAUGUACUUAAGAGCUCUUGGCCAUGUCAGUUCUGUAUUCCAAGAGGGACCUUGGAUCAGUUCUCACAUCCCAACUCAGCCACGUCCAGUCAGCCACGUUUUGUCAGCUGCAAAGACAGGAUGAUUUUCAGGUAAUGUUUCCAGUGAUGCUUCACACAUGCUUUUAAGAAACUAAACCUGAAGUCUGGGAUCAACAUUACAAAUCUGUGUUCAAAUUUUACACCAUUAGUCUAUCUGGACAGCAGGAACAUCAUGCUGGUGCCAUCGAUCCUUGUCCUCACCCCUUGAAUCUCUACAAUAAAUCACCCACAAGUCU